UACGGGGGGGGCAAGCGUUGUUCGGAAUUACUGGGCGUAAAGGGCUCGUAGGCGGCCAACUAAGUCAGACGUGAAAUCCCUCGGCUUAACCGGGGAACUGCGUCUGAUACUGGAUGGCUAGAGGUUGGGAGAGGGAUGCGGAAUUCCAGGUGUAGCGGUGAAAUGACGUAGAUAUCUGGAGGAACACCGGUGGCGAAGGCGGUUCUCUGGGCCUUACCUGACGCUGAGGAGCGAAAGCGUGGGGAGCGAACAGG
rnacentral:rRNA from 1 species